rnacentral:SRP_RNA from 1 species
GCCGGGCGCGGUGGCGCGAGCCUGUAAUCCAGCUACUCCGGAGGCUGAGGCUGGCGGAUCGCUUGAGCUCAGGAGUUCUGGGCUGCAGUGGGCUAUGCCGAUCGGGUGUCCGCACUAAGUUUGGCAUCAAUAUGGUGAUCCCCGGGGAGCCGAGGGCCACCAGGUUGCCUAAGGAGGGGUGAACCGGCCCAGGUCGGAGAUGGAGCAGGUCAAAACUCCCGUGCCGAUCAAUUAUAAAGUUUGAUUUAAUUUUUUAGGUUGAUGUUCCAUGUUAAUAUUUU